rnacentral:tRNA from 1 species
ACCAGUUUGGCUCAAUGGAUAGAGCGUCGGCCUGCAGACUCGAGGGUCCCCGGUUCGAUUCCGGUCAAGGGCA